rnacentral:lncRNA from 1 species
GGGAGCGCGCCCUCUCCCCAACUUCUCACCCUCGCCCUGGGUUCCGGGCCCCAGGCCCAGAGAAUAGCAAACAGAAACUUCAAGAUUACAAAUAUCCGUCUCAUUUGAUGCUGAAUUACUCGUGGACAGAUAAGAAAAGGUCUGUUUGGACAUUCAAAGAAGCUACACAUACAAAGAUGGUUUGGCUCGGUGCCGUCAGACACAGCACUUUGAAGAAAAAAAACACAGAAAGAAAGAAAGGAAGGAAAGAAGGAAGGAAGGAAGGACAGAAGGAAGGAAGGAAGGAAAGAAGGAAAGAAGGAAGGAAGGAAGGAAGGAAGGAAGGAAGGAAGGAAGGAAGGAAGGAAGGAAAAAUGUCUGAGCGUUUCCAUGCUCAUCUUUGCCUCAAAUAAAUACUUCCAGGUUUUGCCGUAAUGAUCUGCAGAAGAGAGCUGCCAUCACUUUCUCACAUCCCAAGGUGUUGGCGGAACUCGGAGCGAGGGGAGAGUGCCUGUAAUGCUUAAUUGCCAAGGGGAGGGCGGGGUGCCACUCGGGACCCCGGGCGGGGCUUGGGGAGGUAAGGUGCAACCAAGGAGGUCUUUCUGGACGCUGGACUCUUCAGUUGGAGAAUAUUUGGACAAGGUAUGAUUGCCUCCCACCUCCCACCUCCCACCUCUUUUCCCCAAUGCCUUUGGGGGAGAAGUGAUACCCUUGUGUAACAAUUAGCUCAGACAAUAAAAAUAAUUGGAAAAUCA